UAACACAUGCAAGUCGAGCGACAAUCUCCAAUCGAUCUUUCGGGUGAUUCUAAAGAAGGACAGCGGCGGACGGGUGAUUAACGCGUAGGCAACCUGCCCCAUACAUUGGGAUAGCCCUGGGAAACUGGGUGUAAUACCGAAUGACGCUUUGAAAUGGCAUCUUUUCAAAGUCAAAACUCCGGUGGUAUGGGAUGGGCCUGCGUCUGAUUAGCUAGUUGGUAAGGUAAUGGCUUACCAAGGCGACGAUCAGUAGCCGACCUGAGAGGGUGAUCGGCCACACUGGAACUGAGACACGGUCCAGACUCCUACGGGAGGCAGCAGUGGGGAAUAUUGCACAAUGGGCGAAAGCCUGAUGCAGCAACGCCGCGUGAGUGAUGAAGGCUUUCGGGUCGUAAAACUCUGUCCUA
rnacentral:rRNA from 1 species